UACGGGGGGGGCAAGCGUUGUUCGGAAUUACUGGGCGUAAAGGGCUCGUAGGUGGCGUGUCGCGUCUGCCGUGAAAGCCCAUGGCUUAACUGUGGGUCUGCGGUGGAUACGGGCAGGCUGGAGGCUGGUAGGGGCAAGCGGAAUUCCUGGUGUAGCGGUGAAAUGCGCAGAUAUCAGGAGGAACACCGGUGGUGUAGACGGCUUUCUGGACCGUAACUGACGCUGAGACACGAAAGCGUGGGUAGCAAACAGG
rnacentral:rRNA from 1 species